GAACCUUACCAACCCUUGCCAUUGAUUGCUAUGGAUAGAGAUAUCCAGUUCUUUUUCGGAGGACAAGAAAACAGGUGGUGCACGGCGGUGGUCAGUUGGUGUCUUGAGAUGUGGGGUUAAGUCCCGCAACGAGCCCAACCCCUUUCUUUUGUUCCCAGCGGUUAGGCCGGGGACUCAGGAGAGACUGCCGCAGACAAUGCGGAGGAAGGCGGGGAUGACGUCAAGUCAUCAUGCCCCUUAUGGCUUGGGCUACACACGUACUACAAUGGCUCUUAAUAGAGGGAAGCGAAGGAGCGAUCCGGAGCAAACCCCAAAAACAGAGUCCCAGUUCGGAUUGCAGGCUGCAACUCGCCUGCAUGAAGCAGGAAUCGCUAGUAAUCGCAGGUCAGCAGA
rnacentral:rRNA from 1 species